UGACUGAGCCGAGAGGCGUCCAGCGCGCUGGGCUGGGCUGGGCUGGGUUUGGCUGGGCUGGGCUGGGCAGCUUAGCGCCGAUCCGCGCGGCCGGCUCAGAGGCUUGCCAGCCGCUGGGACCGAGCUGGAGGCGGUGCUGCGGGCCGGCACAUCCCGUUUGGGUUGUGGGAGGCGGGCGGGCCCUGAAGGGCGCAGAGCCGGCCAAGCGCUGCUGGGUCUUGGCUCUGUGCGCCCAGGGGCGGCUGAUGCCCCCAGCGCUCCCCUCUCCGCUGCUGCAUCCGGGCCGCAUCUGGACUGGGCGCCGCGCUGCGGAGCCGACGCCGGGUGAGCGAGGCGGGGCCGGUGGGACCCAGGGCUGGGAAACCUACCGGGCCGAGUAGGGGAUGACGGCGGGGCGGACCUGGGGUGAGGGGCGCGCCCUGCCUCUCUGUCUCCCUGCCGGGACCUCUGCUACUCUAGCUGUCUAGGAGCAGGACCCCGGAAGGGGCCCCUCGGGAACUCGGCACCCCCUCCUCUUCUCCUUCCAUUCUUCCUGAAGGGGUACCUGCCCUCCGUUCUGGCGGACUCUGGGAGGCCGGAGGUCUGAGGGCCUUGGAGUUCCUGGCAUUGGGGUUGGGGACGUUUUAGCCCAGCCCCGCCCCCCACGUCGGGGUUUUGCUUUUCCCCGGGAGGAGGAGGUCUGUAGAGGCUCCCUGUGGUCCAGGCCAUGUCCUCAUAUUGGCUCUCAGGCUGCUUUGCAGCCUUGACCUUCAGCUCCUUCUAACAAUAGGAAAACCCUAAGAAAAACUGUCCCUUCAGCUAGCUAUUCCCUUGAACAAGUCCGCAAAGAGCCACGAAUAGACAGCCCAAGAGUCCUAAUCUCAGCCCAGCCUUUGCAGCACCGUCAGCUUUUCCCCCUACCCUAAGCCCCAUUCCUAAAGAUUCAUCUGAGUGGUUUGCUGGGGGGGCGGGAGUGUAGGGCGUGUCUUCAAGACCCUCUUCUCCCUAAUUCAUCUUUCCCCGUGGGCAGUUACCCUUAGGCACCUCCGGGCUCUAACCUGUUUACUGUGUCGCCCUCUAUCGAUCAGUACAAUGGAGGCAGGACAAUGCCAGAGUCCGUGGGCAGGGAUUUGGCUGGGCUACCUUCCCAGGAAGCUGCCCCUUUCUGUGAUGUAGUUUGGCCUGAUCAUUCCCCAGAACCUCCCUGGGCCGGGAAUUGAGCUGGAGACACUUAAGUCAGUAUCUAUCCUCAAGGUGUUUUGAUUAGGGUCCUUGGAUGUAGGAGAGUAGACUGAAAACAGGUCUCACUAACCCAUUGCACACAGCCAGAAACUGAGGCCUGAAGUGGAAAAGGGACCUGCCCAAGGUAACUUGGAAAGUGGUAGUUCAAGAUAGGACUAGAGGCUAGAACAGUCUCCUGCUUGUCAUCCCUGAAACUUUCUUGAAGACCCUUUCAGCCACCAAAACCUUAAAAGGGAACUUUGUCCUCAGUCACCCAACUUGGGGUGACCAAGCCCUACCGUGUUUGUAAGCCCUACCGUGUUUGUAAUCACAGUGGAAUGGGUGCCAGGACCUGGAAGUGUGUGGUCCUUGGGGACACAAAUGUUUGACUGCCUUGUGCCUGCAGGCCAACAUGCUGCUUGGGGCAUCUUUGGUGGGGUUGAUGGUGUUCUCCAAGCUGGUGCUGAGACUACCCUGGACCCAAGUGGGGUUCUCCCUGCUGCUUCUCUACUUGGGAUCUGGUGGCUGGCGCUUCAUCCGGAUCUUCAUCAAGACCUUCAGGCGUGAUAUCUUGUGAGUACUGGUCCAGUUCUUCCUGAGUUUCACCCUUCCUGGG
rnacentral:lncRNA from 1 species